UGUAAAGACAUGAUAAGAAAAUGUGGGGAAUCGUGAAGGAAGGAGCUGGGGGUGGUGUGGGCACAGAGGAGGAGCAGUGCACGUGCGGUCUGACAUACGGCUGUGAGUUCAGAGUUAGAGGUUUGCAGCUUGCAGGCCUGAAGACGUGUCGGCUGACAUGCUCCCAGAGAAUCGGAAGCUGCAGGGACCCACACUGCUGAGCAGAUCAUCAGAUGCAUAAAUCAGUGUGAGUCGUGCUGGCAAGGCUGAAUGGACACCCACACUGGCAAGCAGUGCCGUGCAACAGGAGCAGGCCUGUAGAGUGAAACAGUUGGCACUGGGGAUCCAAUGUCCACACUAUUUGGGGUGGGGAGAGGGGGUGGAGGAGGUUCAGAUUAAAUUAAGCACGAAGACAUGCUUCUAGACUGUACCUAAUGUGCUGCAGCCACCAGGAGCACAUUAGGUACAGUCCAGAAGUGUCUUCUGGUUGAAAUUAAUCUGAAUCAAGCAAUCAAGUUUGUGCACCCUGAGACCACACCACAAAGCAAAAAAAAAAAAAAAAUGGAAUUGAUAAGGUGACUCACUUUAAAAGCCUGUUUUCACAGUACAAACUGCUGGUGUAGAUGCAGCUUCUUUUGAAUGUGUAAGGACAUGGAAGGAUACAUGCCAGCUGGGUGCAAAUUUUUCCUAUGAGCUGGGAAGUUUGUUAACAGAUGCAUUAGUACAUGUGGAAAAAAAGUAGUUUUUGUUCCAGAGUUCUCUAUUUAGGAUGCUGAAGACAUUCUCAGGCAGUUUGUGAAAUACUGCAGACCCACAGUUCUGUCUGGAAAACCUUCUGUCCGCCUGUGCCUGCAUGUGUGGCCUCCUGCACAGCAGAUCCCCCUGCUGGGUUCUUGGGUGACAGUGCAACGCAAGUAACAUAAACCAGUUGCUAUUUCCUCUGGUCAUUAAUCACUCGGGAUCUCAUCGGUACUUAAUUGAGAUACCUAAGGCACCCUUAUACAGACUAUAAGAUUUCUCAUACUUGGAGCCCUUCUCCCUUUCUAAAUCACUUACAUUUUCUAGGAAUAGCCUUGGUAAUAAAAUGAGCUGCCUAACCCCUUGCCAACAGGGAACACGAUGACUGACACUUAAACGGCACCUUUCAUCCUAAGAACUAAACCUAUGCCUGGAAUCCUGUCCUGGCUGCUGGCGCUCUAUCAGUGUGAUGCAAGAGCCUCCUUGCCAGCCCAGAGCACAGUCUCAGUGCGAAGUUUAAUGCCCUCUGUAGCUGCUUUGCAAAGGAUCAAUGCCCUUGGCUCUCUGAUCUGUCUGACGUACACACGUGUUAGGCUGGGGUUGUUGUGCUCAGAGGGUGGCUAACCAUGCUCUGCAAAGAGGACCUGGAAAGGACUUUGCAGGCUGUCGCAUGAAGCUCCUGCAGCCAUGUCCUGGACUUGUUCCAUCACGGCAGUGUGCCAGAAGCUCCAUCCUGCAGGGCUCGGUAGGGCACUUCAGACAUCCAGGUGGUCAGAAUGAGAAGAGUCAUGAUGCAAAACUAUCUGAAGAGCAAAUACCACAGCAGGCCCUUCAACCAGCAUGCCAGAGAGACGCACCUUCAGCUCCUACAUUUCAAACUGCCUGAGAAGCCCAAAGACUGCAUGGAGAAGAAAGUAGAAAAAUGAAAUUGGACUUCCUUUUUUUCUUUUAUGAAACUUAAGCUUCUACAUCACAGAUAAGCAAGUUCCUAAAUAAAAGCAUCAAAU